CAUGGGGAAACUGAAUGGGGAGAUGUGGUUGGAUAUAAUCAUGUUUCAUUCUUUACCUCUGCGAAAUCCUCAAGAAUAAAGAAAAAGAGUUAACCCCAAAGAAAUCAACUAGGGAUGUCCCCUGAAAGCAGCAGAUGAGGUUCCCAGUAGAGCCCCAUCCCCUCAGGUGAAGCUUCCACACAAAAGAACAAAUAGCGAUAAAGGGUGACAUCAUCAAACUGGCAAUCAGCGGAAAACAACUGAGGGAGUGCCCUUCAGGCAGCCUGAUGGAGAUCCCCAUCAAUCAGCAGGAGCCAAGCAGGGUGUGUUCUUCCUCAAUAGCAAACAGGUGGCAGUGACAACAUCAAACCCGGUGUUCCCAGCAGUCAGCAGAAACUGGCUGGAGAAGCUGAGGUUGACAGCUGGAGCUGAGCGGUUUUCCCACGGCUGAAUUCCUGGCUUUCCUCUCCCAUUGCAGGCCCUUUUGUAUCAUAAAAUAAACAAUCGUGAAGUUGGUUGGAAAUGGUUCACCUUCUGGCUGUUCUCAAGGACACAAAGUUUUCACUUUUGGGCUGUGUGUUGCUGCCCUCUUCCCUCCCUGUCACAGAAUCAAGAGAAACAGCUCAUUCCCAGAUAAGAGGCCUUGAAGGACAUUUUGAGACCAAUCUGUCUGAGUCUGAAAUAGAAGAGUGGACAGCCAUCGUCUCAGAGCUAGCUCCUCAGCGGUUUCAACCAACACAUAGCAGUUGACCAACCCGGUGUACAUUACACAGGGUCUGUUCUCGGAUGGCUUUGAAAUCGUGACCCUCCUACCUCACCCUCCAUAGGGACGGUCCAUCACACCAGACUGAGCGCAAAAAAUUACAAGGUCCCACCCUCCGGACAGCGUUUUGUUUAUGACAGCCAGGACCCAGUAGGUGAGUGAAUGAACAGAGGAGGUGAGGUUGUGAACCAGGUAAGCCAGAUCUAGGAAGGUGUGGUUUUGUGGGUGUGGAGUAGGGUAGUGCAUGACUGUUGCUCUUAGCAUGCCGGAGGCUGAAGCGGAAGGAAACCAAGGUCGAUGAUAGUCUGGGCUGCACAUUGAGUUCCUUUCUCAUGCCCCUCUUUCCUGCACUGGGGGAGGGAUGGGGGUGGGGUCCUACCUGUAACAUCUCCAGGGCCUGGACACAUGACUCAGAGUUUCUACCCUUCAGCUUUCUCACCUAGAAAUUGUGAGUGAUAAUGCCCACCUUGUAACUUCAUUGUAAGGAUUUGAGAUAAUAUAUGUAAAGUCCAGGGAACUCUGAAACAGGCAGUAAAUAGUCUCCUCUCCCCCUCUCCCUCCCCCCUCCCUUUCCCCUCCCCCUCCCCUCUUCCUCUCCCCCAAGCAGGAAUAAUUAACCAGCGCUUUGCUCUUUGGGGAUUACAUAGCUAACCGUCCAUAAUCCACAUGUGGUUGUUCUCUCUGCAAGUAAGUUCCAGCACGAUUUUGGAAACUGAGUAGAUUUUCUCCAUGAGCUCCUUGCUUACUCCUGGCUGAGUUCCCACCCGCCCCCAAUCUUGUGUGUGUUUAUAAAAAUGUAGACAACUUAAUAUGAAGCCAUGUAUUAAGUUAGUAGGGAGGGAGCUGUGCACUCACAAUCCAGAUGCAUUAAAAAAGCUAAACACAGGAGACAUGUGGAUCCUCUAACCUGCAGUUCCUUCCCAACUCAGAAACUACUUCACUAAGAGGUAAGCAUUUUAAUUUAUCUCGUUGGUGGAGAAACAGAGUAAGCUGUCGUGUGGUUUUGUAAUCUUUAAUCGAUAUAAUUCUUAAACCAUGCCUUUGUAUGAACACCAAUAUUAACUUUCAUCCAACAGCCUUUCCUGACAGCUAAAAUAUUUGCUGUCACUGGUUCAGCUCUGAAUUCUCAGAUCAGCCACGGCUGAUCCCCAGUGCCUUGCCCCAGCCCCAGGACAGGCGCACCAGUAGAGCUGUGGCUGGCUGGUGAGGUAUCAACCACCCCAGGAGUCUGAAUCCUGGAGAUGAAUGGAGAAGUGGCAAGGUUAGAGCCCCAGAAGAAGGUUGGGAUAUAAAUACAAGGAAAUGCUUAAAAUGCAGUGGUGGAAAUCUGAAAACAUGGGUCUUGGGUUAUCACUGGGAAAAGUAAAGCAUAAUAAAUCCAGGCCAAAUUAAAAGUAAGGGAUUUCUAAAUUAAAAACAGUGCAUGUUACGAAAGGCCCGGGCAUGCACGUUUUUAAGGAAAAACAACAGUAUUAAGCAUUCCUGAUAUUUGUUGAGGCAGAAAAAAAUAUUUCAGGUCAAGGGAAGCCCAAAAGCAAAAGGGGCAAGACUGUAUCAGCAUCUUCCCAGCCUGUUAGGAAGGACGAGGGGGAUGGUGCUGUGGUAUUCUUCCUUGCUAAUGGUAGCUAUCAGUGGGAUAAAGUACAGGAACCGUGAAAGCAACUAUUUAAAAUGUAUGAAUCAAUGUGCUAUUAUACUCAGGGUCUUAGUAUGCUUUUUGUCACGAUAAUGAAAUACCUGAGGAGAUUAACUGAUAAAGAGAAAUGUGAAUUUUGGCUCAUGGCUCUCUAGCUGAUGAGGGAUCCUCACGCUACGGAAUUCUGAAGAGGGCAUCACAUGAAGGUGGUGUGGGGAAGACACCUACACCAUAAGCCAGAAAGCAAAGAGAAACAUGAGCAGGGUCCUCGUGAUCCCAUUCAGGGGCAUCACCCGGUGGUUCUCUUACAAAGUCACACACACCUCCCCUGGUCUCCACACCUCCCAGCAGCUCCACCCUGGGAACUAAGUUUUAGAAAUUCUGGCAGGAAAUCUGAUCCAAACCGUGAGACCUGGGUCACAAUUUCAGGCCGUUUUCAUCAUUUUUACUAGAAAGCCUAGACCUUUUAGCGAGGACCCUCCUCACAGCUAGCCAGUCUUCACACAUCCCUGCACAGUCCCUAAGCUACUGCCUGGCUAUAGGUUUCCUAUUGUAGAGAUUUCAUUAUAAUGGAAUCAAACCAUCUGUCAUAUCCUGAACUGCUUUGCCUUCCUUGUCACAAUGUCCUCAAGCCUCAACCACAGGUGGCGAGUAUCAGUAUGCCACGUUUUAUAUUGCCUUUAACCCUUCUAAGAAUGGCGUAGGCGUACGCACUGAAAGUGUGAAAAAUCAAAGAAUCGUCACAGGAACACGAUGAUAUAUACACGCCGGGCAUUGAAACAAUUCGGAUACAAGCCACACAAUCACGUGGAGGAAAAGGGAGCUUAUUCACAAGCAGUCUUUCGGUUUUCAGAUCAAGCAAAAUGAAAGGACGUGAAAAGAAUGCGUCUGGAGUAAAGAAUACGUGCGUGUCCCUGUGGCUGUCCCCAAGCAUAUGUGACAAGAGAUGCAGGGUUAGAGCAACUGUCUUGUUGGCUACCAGCAAACGAGCAAGCAGGAGCCAACGAAAUCAGACAGCCAGCAGGUGCGCUAGGAGUCCUCACCGCAGGGCUGAGACUCUGCCAAUCAACCUGUGCCUCCCAUUGCCAGCGACUAGGGCGUGGCUACAAUCCUUUCGCUGAAAAUGAGCGUUCGUAAGCGAUGAUAAAUAGCCUUAUAUGUGCGCAUCUGGAUGCCGGGUCCUAACACACGGGGAGGGUGUACCACCCAGAAAUAACUCCAAAGUGAAAAUAGAAGGCAGAGACGCAAAGUGAACUCAAAGCUUUGUUUAUCAACAGGAAAGGCGUGGCUGUGACGGGGAGAUGGCGUGCGUGAGGCUGAAUCGAGAUUCCCGAGCAGGCACGCCUGUGUCGGUAAAGGACACCUGACCGUGUUCUUGAAUUCCGCCACUGUAAUCACUUUCAUGGUAUUAUGAUUGGUCUACCUUUCAUUUUGUAUUCCUGGUUUUAAUAACUGAAAUACUGUCCCCCGCUUCUUUAACCUAAGCCAUUAUUUCCCCCCCCAAAUGUUCGCGAAAUUAGAUUUUCAUCUUUCUGCAUAUGUCAUUCACGCUAGACGUGUUGAACGGCUCCUCUUUCUCUUCCAAAGAUUUUCGUUCCAGCCUGACGUUUGUGCCCCAUCUUGGUAAUUUUUCUCAAAUUCCUGAUGAAUUUUUUAAAAAAAGCAUCCUCCUAUCUACAAAACAUGCUCAGGAUAGCUCACUAUCUGUUGCGUGAGUUGGUUUCUCCACACGACUCACAUCAUUGUCUGCCCACAGUGAACACAGCAAUGGCAGCAGGAGACCUGGGCAUGGUGACCCAUAGCCACGCUGGUCAGGAUUCUCCAUCUUUGCCUAUUGUGACACCUUACGCCGUCCUGUAGGAUAAGGCGCCUGACUUUGAUGCCAUAUGCCAAAACACCCUUGGAGAUGUACUUAGAAAACCGAGUUUCCUUCCCACGCUUUUUUCUUUUUAUGCACACAUACAUUUUAAAUCUAGGUCCCACCCACGAGAGAAACAUGAAGUAGCCGCAUCCAAACCUGGUUUGGUUUGGUUUGGUUUGGUUUGGUUUGGUUUGGUUUGGUUUGGUUUGGUUUGGUUUUAAUGUCUAUGAGUACACUGUAGCUGUCUUCAGACACACAGAAGAGGGCAUCAGAUCCCAUUACAGAGGGUUUGUGAGCCACCACGUAGUUGCUGGGAUUUGAACUCAGGACCUCUGGAAGAGCAGUCAGUGCUCUUAACCACUGAGCCAUCUCUCCAGCCCCGAGACCAUUUUUCUUUAAGGCUGUAUAAAACUCCAUUGUACAGUGUAUGAUAUUUUCUUUGUCAGGUCAUCUCUUGAUGGACGUCUAGGCUGGCUCCGUUCCCUGGCCAUCCUGAAUAUAUGCAGCAAUAAAGAAGGCUACAUGUUUAAUCAUAAACACUGAGCAAGCAUGGCGGCGGUGUGCUGAAUUAUGGUCCUUCAGGUAUAUGAGCAUUUGCCUGCUUGCAUGUAUGUGCACCACAUGUGUGCCCACCGCCAGCAGAGGACAGAAGAGCACAUUAGAUUUCCCGGAGGUGGCGGUAAAGGAAUUGCAUGCUGCUGUGUGGGUGCUGGGAGUGAACUUAGGUCUCAAACACUGAGUCAUCUUUCUAGCCCUGAGCACCUCUCUGUCAGGGAUAGAUUUCAGGACAUUUUUAUUAACAUAGAAUCUUUGGCUAUCGUCAUCAUUCUAUGGACACUUUUUAAAGGAGUUCUUGCGGGGUUAAAAUCUUAUGUUAACAAGCAAUACACAACUGUAGGAAGGACAGAUCUUCACAUCCAAGGUAAGAACAGAAACCCUUUACCAGCAUCUUAAACACAGCAAGAGUUGGUCGUGCUUACAAGAAGGAGAGAGGUCUCUAAGGAGAGCGGUCUCUCACAGAGAACUGGGGGCACAGAUUUCUGUUAGGGAGUAGGUUCUUUCCGGAAGGUACAAGUCGGAAAUCUGAUUUCCCAAAGGCUUGACCUGCGGUUCCGAAGAUAAUUCCAACAGCUAGGAUAGCUAACUCAGAACAAAUUGCCCUUCCUGGAACUGAUGAGAAUAGUCCCUGCCAACAUCCUGCCUGGAUUCCAGCGCUCGGGACUUUAAGAAGUCUUCUUUAUCAGUUCAUUCAUAAUCUGUAACAGUACUAUAGAAAACCUGGGCAGGGCUGGCAACACCUCUCAUUCGUGGGCCUCUUAAAACAAAGGAACAUUUCCGACAAGCUGAACUCGUGUGUGAACUUAAAAAAAAAAAUCACUUUAGAAAUAAUGGUAGGUGGCUGGGCAUAGGUAGGUGGUACACACCUUUAAUCUCAGCACUCAAGGGGCAGAGGUAGUCAGAUCUUUUAAUAAUGGGCACCAAGUUCUCAAUUGGUUUUGGGGAGACAUUUCAUGUAUAAGCCAUAAUGUGCCUAAUCUUUCCUAACCUCACAUUUCCUGAUUCUCCUGAUGAGCACUGUUUUAUCUCUGCUUUUAUGAGAUCAGCUUUGCUAUAUUCCACAGAGGAGCGAGACCAUGCAGUACUUUGGGACCUGGCUUAUUUCGCUUAGCAUAGUGUGUUCCAGGUCCACUCACAUUACUGGAAAUGACAUCACAAAGAAAGGAAAACUGGGGUGACACAUACACUAAUUAAUUACCUCAAUAUGAUCAUUAUACAAUGUAUAUAUUGUGUCAAAACCUUUCUUAGUGCCUCAGAAAUACAUAUAAUUGUUAUCUGUCAGUUAAAAAUAAAAUAAGAAAUAAAUUACAGACACUUGAAUCAUUACAUUAAAAUUUGUUUUUGGGAAAGUUGGACCACAAAACACUAUAUUGCUCACAGCUCAGUGGUGAAGAAAACUUAUUUGUCUUGCAAAGGACCUGAGUUCAGCUCCUGGCACCCACAUCUGGCCGGGCAGCUUUCAACCAUCUUUAACUCCAGCUCCAUGAGUUCCAAACCCCUUUUCUGGCCUCUGUGGACACAUGUAGAAAUGUGGCAUAGUCUCACAGACACAUACUCAUUGAUAGCCUCUGUUCAGACCACAAUAAAAAUAAAAUUUAAACAAGAAACUAUGUCACCAAUUAGUAAUUGUGCAUAAACAAACCAUGAAAUAAAUACAAUGAGAGGAAAAAAAUACAUACAUUUCUUAGUCUAAUCAGCAUGAGAAUGUCAAUCCCAUUAAUGGAUUAGUUCAUACAGUAGUUCACAGCGGAAUAGGCUCUUAGGAGGCGAGGCCAAUUGAGAAGCAAUUGAUCUGUGCCUACCUGCUCUCUCUGCUUCUUGCCUGUUGUGAAGUGAGCUGCUUUCCUCUGUUGUGCACUUCUGCCUUGUCACAGACCUAAGAACAACUGAGCCAGAUAACCAUAUCCUGACACCACAGCCAAUUAAACCUUCCCUCUUUAGUAGGUCCUUCCCACCUCAGGUAUUUUCUCAUAGCAGUGAAGGCUGAGUAACAUAGAACUUUAUUUAGUAAUCCAUCCAUCCAUCCAUCCACUUGUCUAUCCAUCUAGCUAUCUAACCAUCAUCCAUCCAUCCACCCACCCAUCCAUCCAUCUAUCCAUCUGCUGGAGUCCUGGCAUCUGAAAAGAGGGCCUUACACAUAUUAGACGAAUGUUCUGCCAUUGAAGCGUUUUUCUACAUAAUUUAUUUUUUUAAGGUGAUGCCAGAAAACAUGUGAAGAUAUACAGGGAGGGGAAAUUUUCCAAUCAUUAUUGCUAUGUAAAAUCAGCUCUCAGUUGUAUGAAACAACCAACAUGCAUUACAAAACAUUUUCUUCAACAGAGGCCCAGGAACUUAGCUUUGAGUAUCUGUGGGGCUUCGGGCAUCUGAAGGCUCUUCUGGGGUAUCGAGUAUUCCAGAGGGUGUGACACAUGAGAUGCACAGCAUAAGGACUUCUGUGUUGUCAGACCUCUCACCUGAUGUAGGAAUUUCCAGAGUCCGAGAUUUGAUCCCAGAAUAAAUAGGAGUCAGUGGUCUUGUACGGUGCUGCUCAAAAACCAUACAAGGUCCCUUCUGCCUAAGUCUUUUAGUUAAAGCAGCCCUGUGCCAAAUGAGAGAGGAUAGGGGUGCAAGCACUGCAUGAGAAGGAUAGAAUGCUGACUAACUUGAUAGGAAAAAUCACAGCACAAAGUCCAUGUAAUUAACCUAAGAAGUUCUGGGUUAUAAUCAGCUCAAACCCUGAGUGUGGAAAGCAUCUCUCACAGUUGCCUGUGGGGAAGUUGAGGAACGUAAGGUUGCUAACUGCCAACUUCCCAUCAGCAGUUGGUUUGGGCGGGAGAGGAGGAGGAGGACUGUGUGCUCCCCUAACACAGACAUCCAUCCUGCUCCUAAGCAGCAGAAAGCCUCAGGCACAGGAGCUGGUGUUUGGGGCAGGCAGCCUCUCAGGGACGGAGCUGCUCCUGGAGAUGAAUGCCAAUGGAUUCUGAGUAAAGAGCUCGGUCUCAGAGAGAGCAUUUUUCCUUGUCAUUAAAUAUUCAUUGUGAUGACUUCUAAUGGUUACAUAGAUACUUUACUUUUUUUAAAUUAACAUCUUUUUUCAUAAAGCGGAGAAAUAGAAAGGAAAAAAAACCCCACAGUUUGGCCAAUUAGUGCCACUAAACUAGACCAUCAAUUAUACAUCUUCCUGUUUUUCCUUAGCAUGCUCCUUAUUUAUUUAGUUUUAUAAGUAUGUAUAAAAUUAAACAAGAUAAAUGUCAUUGGCCUUUACAUGCAUGAGCGCAACAGACUUUGAUCUUAUCAUGAGACUAUCAGUCCCCUUCUUUCCCAAAAUCUCCCUUCUUGUCUUUAAAAACAAAUAAAGGAUUCCACGUAUGAGAGAAAGCGUGUAAUCCUGAGGUUUUGUUUUUCAUUAAUUUUAUAAUAGAAUUGCACCUCUCCCUCCUUCCUCCCUCCAGGCCCCCCACCUCUCCGUGCCUGUCUCCAACUCCUUUCACACCCUCACCCUCAAGUUGAUAGCCUCUUCUUUAUUCACGGUCACUGUUAGAUACACAUAAACAUUUGUAAACACAUGCAUGUACAAAUAUACAAGCACAACCUACUGAGUCCAUUUUUGUCAUUGUGCAUAUGGUUUCUGACAACUUUCCUCAUUCCCCCAGUGGUUAUCGCCACCGUGACUGGUGUUGCCAUUUCGCAAUGGCUUCACAGGAAUGCCAUCUGCAUGAAGCUGCUGAGGACCAGGUUGUUCUAGAGAAGGUUGGCUGAUCCUGAACUGUCAUGGGAAAGACUUUGGCAUCUUCACAGCUAUUGUAGCAGCCAUUGCUGCUGCAGCCACUGUGUCUGCAGUGUCUGGGAUUGCCCUCCACUGAUCUGAUGUUAAGGCAAGCACAGUGGGUAAACUUUCAGGAGUAGUUGCUGACAAUUGGGAAUUCUAAAUUUAAAUUGAUAGGAACAGCUUGACAAUGGCCCUCAGUGUUAUGGCCCUCAGGUGUCUUGGCCCCAGGGUGCCACAGUAGUAGGCUUUUUGCUCCUUAUCACAUGCACAAACAGCACGCCCAGUUCUGGGCAGAGACUAAGCAUGUGUUGCUCUCCUUGGUAGGAGACAAUCCCUCUGCCCAAAUCGGGCUCAGCCUUUACGAGAAGCAGUUAGCCAAAGACAGGCAACUCUUUGAGAUCAAUCCUCACCUAAGACAGGAAACUCUGAGACUGGCAGAGAUUUUCCAGAGAUGGGUUGCCACCCUGAAAGGGUCCUAAGACAGGCGCUGCUUAAUAAAAAAAAUAAAAAAGGGGGACUUGUCGGACCCUCCUGGGUCCCCUGAAGUGUUCAACUCCUGCUGAAACUCUGCUAAUGCAUGUAGAAGCCUUUUGUUCCUAACAAAGGAAUGCCCUGGCCCGGCAGCAACACACCUAGGCGUACACCUGGGCGUGCACCUGGGCGUACACCUGGGCAUGCACCUGGGCGUACACCUGGGCGAUGGUCCAUUCAUUCCUGUCUUUUGUUCUCAGUCUUUGUUCCUGGGACUUAGGCUGGUCUUCCUGGAAUUUUCCACCCUGUGAACUUGGGGUAUAUAUUUGGUUAAUAAAGCUACAGAAUUGGCAUUCUCUCUUAACACGAAUGACCCACAUAUGUGUGUUUUUUAAUCCCGCAGGCUUACGCCCGGAUCUCUGUGCCGUGUUGGUGCGGGCAUCGACAACAUUGGACAACAUGGAGGUUCAUCAUUAGGAGAGGCCAAUUCUGCCUCUCUCAACAGACAUUAGUUGCCUGGUUUUGUUGUCGUCGUUGUUGUUGUUUGUGUUGUUUUGUUUUUGUCUAGGGGUGGGAUUCUACGGGAGAUUGCUUUCCACUUCUACCUUAGCAUGUCUAUUGGUAUCGCUGUUCUUCUGGUCUUGCGUAUGCAGUCGUGUCCAGGACAGACUGCCUUGCAGCAGACUUCCUAAUAGUCUGACUCUUAGCAUCUUUACACCCGACUCUCCAAGAUGGUUCCUGUGCCGUAGAUGCAGGAGCUAUGGUGCAGAUGUAUCCACUGGGGCUGGGCUCCUCACAAUAAUCUUUGCAUGACCAACUCUGGCUUAGUUCAUGACAACGAUGAAAUCCACCUGAAUGAGAAGAGUCUUCCAUAGACUCACCUAUGUGAACACUGGAAAGGUUCUAGAACCUUCAGGAGGAAGGAGAGCCUUACUGGAGGAAGUGGGUGGACUUCGAGCGUUUAUGAUUCACCCCACUUCCAAUGUGUGUUUUAUCUUUGUCUUCUCCGUUUGCUUCUCCAACUCCCUCUUUCUCUCCUCAUAACCCCAUCUUUAAAUUAGUUCCUUGAAAAUUUUUACACAAUGUGUUCAGAUCAUAUUCAUGCCUCCCUAUCUCCCAAAGUCCUCCCAGAUCCAGCCCCUGUCUAUAACCACCUAACUUUCCAGCCUCUUUUUCCUUUUUAACCCAUCUAAUCUAAUUUGUGUUGCCCCUCUAUUCUUAGCUGUGUGGUCUUCCACUAGAGUACUGCCAACCUACCAUGGACUGUACUGUUAGAGAAGACCGACUCUCCCUCUGCCAACAGCUAUCAACUGCCCAUAGCAACUCAGAUAGACAUGGGACUUCAUGCCCUAGCCUCCCCAUGCUGGAAUUGUGCCUGGCUUGAAUUUGUGUGGGUCAUAUGCAUGAUUCAAAGCUCGAAAGCCACAAAGAGUCUUAGGAAGGCCGCAGGUAAGCUGAGGCUUAGAAGUCAGAGGAGUCCAGAGUUGAGAACGUUCCUAUCGGUCACAUUCAAGUCCUCAGUGACUUUUUGCCAAACGGUAAAUAAAACCCCUUUUGUUAAUUAAUGUGACUAGAGCAAGUUAAGUGUGGAAUGUUUACUGUGGCUCACAGUUCCAGAGUACAGUCUGUCACAGUGAGAAGCCAUGUGGCAAGGAGCUGGAGGCAGCUGGUCACACUUCAUCUCCAGUCAGAACACAGAGAGCAAACAUCACUACUGCUGGAUUUCCUUUCUCCGAGCCUCCUUAUCUGACCUAGAACCAAGACCAUGGCUAGAGAGAUGGCUCAGUGGUUAGGGCCUUGGCUGCUUCUCCAGAGGGCCUGAGUUCAAUCUUCAGCAAGCACUUGGUAGCUCACGAGCAUCUAUAAUGUGAACUAAUGCCCCCUUGUGGCUUACAGUAUAUACAUACCAAUCUCAUAUACAUAAAAAUAAGUAAGUCCUUUUUUAAAAAUGCUAGAACCCAAAGUAUGAUAUGGCACAGGCCACAGUCACAAUAAAAAUCCCUCACAGGCAAUGACUAGCCUAAGCUAGACAAUUCCUCACAGGCUUGCCCAAAGGCUAACCUGAUCUAGGUAACCCCUCACAGACAUGCUCAGAGGCUAACCUGAUCUAGGUAACUCCCUCCUCACAGCCAUGCUCAGAGGCUAACCCGAUCUAGGUAACCCCUCAUGGGCUAUGUCCAGAGGCUCCUUUCCUAGCUGGUUCUACUUGACAAUCAAUAUAAACCUUCACCCUUCAGACAAGCAAGUAGACAGCAAGACCCCAAACAAUGUGGCCCUCCUAUCUCUCCAUACUCCUUCCCCCCAUUAUACACCAACCACAUUCUCCUUCCUCCCCAUUAUACACCAGUCACAUUCUCCUUCCCCCCAUUAUAUACCAGUCACAUUCUCUAUAUAACACGAACACCUCGAAUCUUUCUAGACUCAAGGCCUUUGCCAUAUUGCAUGCUUCUGCCUGGCUCACCCUACUGUAUUCAGUUCCUUCUACUUAAUUAGCAUACACUUCUGUGGUAGCAUGAAUGGAAAUGGAUCCUACGCUAUCAUAGGGAGUGGCAUUAUUGGAAGUGUGGCCUUGUUGGAAGAAGUGUGUCACUUGAGGUUGGGCUUUGAAGUCGCAGAAGCCAGGCCUGGUCUGUCUAGAUAAGACAGGAGCACUGUCUCUUCCUGCUGCCUGCCAACAGGGUGUAGAACUCUCAGCUACCUCUCCAGCACCGUGUCUGCCUUCUUGCCACCAUGCUCCCAUCAUGAUGAUAACGGAUUAGACCUCUGAAACAUAAGCCAGCCCUAAUUAAAUGCUUUCCUUUAUGAGAGUUGUUGUGGUCGUGGUGUCUCUCCAUAGCAAAAGGAACCCUGACUAAGACAGCCACUAUUUGUAUGCGACUUCAUCAUGAAAGAGUUUGGAAGUGGGUCUCCGUUAGUAGCCACCUCACUCAUCGGUUUUUCUCACAGCGUUUAUCAUGAUUGGUAGGAGGUUUUGCUUUUGCCUCUUCUUCCAACUAGAAGCCAUCCAUUAGGACCUCCUCAGGACAUUCAGUACAGAGCAUGAUAUGACAAAGGUCUGGAAGUCCCUUCAUCACAGCACACAUGAAGUUAGAAAGUGAAGGUGGGACCUGAAAAGACAGCUCAGCACUUAAGAGCAUUUCCAGAGGACCAGGGUUCAUUUCCAAGCACCCAUCCCUGGGUAGUUCACAACUACCUCUAAGUCAUGUUCCAGAGGAUCCAAUGUCCUCUUCUAGACUGCAGGAAUGAUACCUAUGUGAUGCACACUUACACUCAGGAACUCAGAGGAUCCAAUGUCCUCUUCUAGACUGCAGGAAUGAUACCUAUGUGAUGCAUACUUACACUCAGGAUCACACACAUUAAAUACAUAAAGAAUGAACCUUUUUUUUUUUAAAGUGAAGGCAUAUAGACCCAACUAUGUGUCCCAGUGAUAGAUAUAAACUCUCAGUAUUUCUGAGAAGAUGGGGUCUCCUUCCAACCACACAGUGGGGAGGAGGGGGAAUAUUGGUUUAACUUGGAAAAUAACAAAAAUUUUUAAAGAAAGUUUUACUUUCAAAAGAGAGCAACAACACAUAUCUUUCACAGAAUUAACGUCCUCGGAGUCAUGCCGGGAGCUUUGCGAGCUUGACUUAUUACAAGUUAUAGGGGGAAAAAAGAUCUUAAGUUCGUGAGUUUUCUUCUGCUUCUGUCCUGCUAAUCCCACAUUCUAUGGGACAUUUGGAGGAGGCCAAAACAGUUAAAUAAUAGAUGGUCCCGUUAAAUAAAAUAAGACACCCAAUUCAGAGAUAUGGGAGAGAGUCACAUUAAUCUCAAACAAGGCUUUUUCUCAAAUGUCACUGAGAUUGUCGCUGUGCUAGAAUUUUCUUCUUUUCAAGGCUGCACAAGAUGCCAUUGCAAAUCUCUCCCACAUUUUGCUUCCCAUUCUGCUACGGGCAGGCUCUUGGGUUGCACCCAUAAUUUAACUCCUGUAAAUAAUAUGAGUUUACAAAUAUUUCUCUAUUACUCUAUUUUAUUUGUUCUCUGGAGGGAUAAAACCAAAAUUAAAAUCGCUCUGUUGUGUAAUAAUUCUCUUCUGAGGUUUUGAGGGAUGGCCAUACCCCUUCCCACAGCUGUACACUGCUUUACAUCCUCACCAGCAGUACAUAAGGCUGCUCACGUCUCUCCAUGUUCUCACCAACAUUCCUUCCUUCCCUCCUCUCCUCUCCUUUCCCCCUUUCCUGUUUGUUUUUGUUGUCAUCCCCCAUUUGUGUAAGAUGGUAUCUGUCUGCAGAGUUGAUCAUAUUCUUUUGUACGUAGUGGGUGGUUGUAGAUCUUUGGAGGAAUAUUUCUAACCCUUUUGGUCAUUUCAGAGAAGUGGAAGCCCCCCUUGGGUACUACCCUGCCCUGGGACAUCAAGUCACAGCAGACCUAAGUGCAUCCUCUCCCACUGAGGCCAGACAAGGCAGUCCAGGUCAGAGAAGGGAAGCCAAUGAGAGGCAACAGAGUCAGAGACAGCCCCUGCUCCAAUUGUUAGGGACUCACUUGAAGACCAAGCUGCACAUCUGUUACAAAUGUGGGGGGCCUAGGUCCAGUUCUUCAUGCCCUUGGGUUGAUGAUUCAGUCUCUGUGAGCCUCCAUGGGCACGGGUUAGUUGACUCUGUAGGUCUUCCUGUGGUGUCCUUGACCCCUCAGGCUAGCUCAAUCCUAUCUCCCACUCUUCCACAAGACUCGGGAGCUCCACCAGAUGUUUGGCUAUAUGGGUCUCUGCAUCUGUUUUCAUCAGAUACUGCUGGAUGAAGGCCCUCGGGAGAUAUUUAUGCUAGGCUCCUGUCUGCAGGCAUAGCAGAGUGUCAUUAAUAGUGUUAGGGGUUGGCUCUCUCCCUUGGGAUGAGUCUCAAGUUGGGCCAGCCAUUGGUUGGCCAUUCCCUCAGCCUAUAUCCCUGUGCCUCUUGUAGGCAGGACCAAUUUUAAGUUGAAGGAUCUGUGGGUGAGUUGAUAUUCCCCUCCCUCCAGUGGAAGUCCUGCCUAGACAGGAGGUGACCACUUCAGUGUCCAUCUCAGCUGGCAAGGAGUCUCAGCUGGGGUCACCUCACAGACUCUAAGGAGCCUCCCCUCUCCCGGAAUAUUUUUAAUUAGGCAAAUCUUGCCUUGGAAAAUCCCUAAGUAUUUUGUUAUUCUUGAUGCUCUAACAAGUUGAAAUACUUUUUAAAUUUCCUUUUUAGGUGGCUCAUUCUUAGUGUAGAGAAGUUCAACUAACUUUUGUCUGUGGAUGCGUAUUUAGCAGAUUUGUGUGGUAUGUGUGUGCACGUAUGCAAUCACUAGAAUUUUCUAUCUAUAGCUUCUCUCAUCUGUAAGGAGAAGUAAUGUUACUCCUUCUCUGAUUGGCAUUAAACAUUAAAUGUAUUGACUUUAUUUUUGUUCGAUUUUUAACUGCCUUUCUUUUAUUUUGGCUAUUCUGCACAAAGCUCCCAGUACUGCGCUGAUAGAAAAAAAAAAACAAAAACGUUUGAACAAAGGCAGCCCUAAUUGUCCAUGCUUUUAGUGGAAAAGUUUUUGGCCUUUCGACAUAAUUUAUAAUGUUUGCUGUUAACUUUCCUAUUGCCUAUUGUGAUAUGGUACCUUCUAUUCCUGGCUGGUUGAGUAUUUUUCAUCAUGAAAUGUAUUAAAUUGUAUUAAAUGCUUUCUUUCU